rnacentral:rRNA from 1 species
ACUACGGGUGGCUGCAGUGGGGAAUAUUGGGCAAUGGGCGAAAGCCUGACCCAGCAACGCCGCGUGAAGGAAGAAGGCUUUCGGGUUGUAAACUUCUUUUGACAGGGAAGAGCAGAAGACGGUAACUGUCGAAUAAGCCCCGGCUAACUACGUGCCAGCAGCCGCGGUAAUACGUAGGGGGCAAGCGUUAUCCGGAUUUACUGGGUGUAAAGGGGGCGCAGACGGCAGCGCAAGCCAGGAGUGAAAGCCCGGGGCCCAACCCCGGGACUGCUCUUGGAACUGCGCGGCUGGAGUGCAGGAGGGGCAGGCGGAAUUCCUGGUGUAGGGGUAAAAUCCGUAGAGAUCAAGAGGAAUACUCAUUGCGAAGGCGACCUGCUAGAACAUAACUGACGCUGAUGCGCGAAAGCGUGGGGAGCAAACAGGAUUAGAUACCCGGGUAGUC